UGGACAGAAGUCUGAAGUGAGUCAGGGA
rnacentral:piRNA from 2 species